rnacentral:snRNA from 1 species
UAAUAACCCAAUUUUUUCGAUAAAAUUGGAACGAUACAGAGAAGAUUAGCAUGGCCCCUACGCAAGGAUGAAACGCACAAAUCAUUUUUUCUUCAUCCUU